GUGAGUACUAUGUUCCUAACCUGCUGAAAGAAAGCACCAGGGGCAGGUCAGUUGCUGCCAGGGAAUAAGCAGCUGAGUGCCCUGAGGCAAGGGUGAAGAAGGUGCUGGGACCAUGGUGAAGUGGUCCUGGGGAUCUCAGCAGCGGUGAGAGGAACUAGAGGUGGAAGGCAGAUGCAGAGACGGAGAUAGUGUGCAAGCUGUGGACGGGGAGUGUUGGCCUUGAGCUAAUCCCCAGAUUGACCAGGAGGAGGUGCCAGUCUGACAGUGAGUGAUGUGCCCUGUGACAGGCCUAUACUGAGGGAAAGGCACUGGAGCAGCCUCAUCCACCUCCAUAACCGGUCAGCCACCCUGGCCUCGUGAUCUAACCGAUUCUCUAGUGGCGAUGGAUCACAGGCAGAAAGAUCGAUGCCCAGAUAGAGCAGCAGACCC